CACUCCGGACAUAUUACAACUAAGUGAUUGUGCAGCAACUGGAACUGGACAGAUGAUCUGUUAAUUCGGAUGAGCAAGGGGGAAAAUGUUACACGACCAUUCCAGGAGAUAAAAUCAAGAAUGUUGAAUCAUUGAGGAACACACCAAAUAAACCCUGGGCUGUGAAUUAUGUUAACGGAAGUGGAAGUGAACACCAAAGAGAGAAGAUUCUGGCAUUCAAUAAUUUCGAAAAGUGUAUAAAUUUUCAAUUAUCUAAAAAUAUUAAAAUAUCAACACAAAUGUGUCUUGGAGUUCUUUGUUGAAUGAUGCCGUCGCAUGACUGAAAGUUGAAGUAUACUAUUUGGACUUGAUUAGAGACCGACCAUUUAAUAUUCAAGGAGGUGGGGACCUGGAACUUUUCUAUUGAGAUUACAUGUUUUCGGUCACAGCUACAAAAGCAGAUAUGUGAUUUUAUUUAACUCUGAGCCUGAAGAUAAACACCUUGCAACUAGAUUUUAGUGGCAGGCAUUUUUUUUCACCAGUCUGAACCGUAAUUAUUUUUGUCAAGAAUUUUCGGUGACAAUAUAUUUUUUCGAUAAAAUUCCAGGACCCAACCCGCCCAAGAAAAUAUCAUAUGGUCAACCCCUUACAAUGUCUGCCAUUCUUAUUUUGUUUCCUGCAGUAUUUGCCUAAAGGG